UCGACGGAUCCUUCGGGAUUAGUGGCGGACGGGUGAGUAACACGUGGGAACGUGCCCUUUGGUUCGGAACAACUCAGGGAAACUUGAGCUAAUACCGGAUGUGCCCUUCGGGGGAAAGAUUUAUCGCCAUUGGAGCGGCCCGCGUCUGAUUAGCUAGUUGGUGAGGUAAAGGCUCACCAAGGCGACGAUCAGUAGCUGGUCUGAGAGGAUGAUCAGCCACAUUGGGACUGAGACACGGCCCAAACUCCUACGGGAGGCAGCAGUGGGGAAUCUUGCGCAAUGGGCGAAAGCCUGACGCAGCCAUGCCGCGUGAAUGAUGAAGGUCUUAGGAUUGUAAAAUUCUUUCACCGGGGACGAUAAUGACGGUACCCGGAGAAGAAGCCCCGGCUAACUUCGUGCCAGCAGCCGCGGUAAUACGAAGGGGGCUAGCGUUGCUCGGAAUUACUGGGCGUAAAGGGAGCGUAGGCGGACUGUUUAGUCAGAGGUGAAAGCCCAGGGCUCAACCUUGGAAUUGCCUUUGAUACUGGCAGUCUUGAGUACGGAAGAGGUAUGUGGAACUCCGAGUGUAGAGGUGAAAUUCGUAGAUAUUCGGAAGAACACCAGUGGCGAAGGCGACAUACUGGUCCGUUACUGACGCUGAGGCUCGAAAGCGUGGGGAGCAAACAGGAUUAGAUACCCUGGUAGUCCACGCCGUAAACGAUGAGUGCUAGUUGUCGGCAUGCAUGCAUGUCGGUGACGCAGCUACGCAUUAAACACUCCGCCGGGGGAAGACGGUCGCAAGAUUAAACUCAAAGGAAUUGACGGGGGCCCACACAAGCGGUGGAGCAGGUGGUUAAUUCCAACAACCCACAAAACUGUACCCCUUUUGAAUGCCCGGACCGCCCAAAGAUUUGGCUUUCCUUUCGGGAACGGGACACAGGUGCUGCAUGGCUGCCGCAACCCGUGGCUGGAAAUGUGGGUUAAAUCCCCAAAAGAGGGAACCCUUCCGCUUAUUGCCCACCGGGUUGGGGGGGCCUCUAAUCGGC
rnacentral:rRNA from 1 species